AAUAUUCACUAAGAUCUCAAAUCUUCCCUAAGAUCUCAUGUAUCAAAACAAAUCUUCAAAAAUUCUCUCUCUCUUCCUCACCCAUCACUCACGCCUAACUCUCUCUCUCUCCCUCAUCUCUCACUUUUCCUCCAUUGACAACCAUUGUUGAGACCUUCGGAGCUUCCUAAAAUCAUACCAAACACACAAAUCCACCCCUAAAUCUUACUUAAACACCUUCAAUCUCAUUGGAUUCAAGAAGAUCCUUGGAGUUUGAUUUCAAAGCUAGAAAGAGAAAGUUUGAUUUUGGGUGUAAGCUUGGGCCGAGCGAGACGAAGAAGUAUGUCGCCUGUUUUCUUUCCGAAACUAAGCGAGGGACUUCAGGUGGGCAAUAUUUUGAGUAUACGUAUAUCGUAUGAGCUUUCUAAAAUGAUUUGAUGAUGUUAUGACUUUAUCAAAUGCUUUGAGAUAAAUGAUGUUUGAGAACUGUUUGACUUGCCAAUUUUUUAUGUUGAGCUUGUGUGUUACCCUCUACUAAUUAGACGAAUUCGGUCCUGCCACAAGCGGGAUUUUGUGCACAGAGGUGACCGCGAGCCGUCUUCGGGUCGGCCGGUCACGGUACUUGAGAGGGAGGCCUACUUCUCAGUACCUUUGAUGAUGAUGAGUUGUAGAUGUGGUACAUACAUGACGAGUACUUUGAUAGCGCUAUCGUUUCUUUAUGAUGUUAGGUUUAUUCAAACUGCUUACACAGGUUCAUUUACGUUAAAUUUAUUCCUGUGUAUUGCUAAGAUAUGGCAAGUUUCAAACCUAUAGCUCUAAGAGCACCUUUCUUGUUUUUCGGCGUUUGCCCACUGAGUAUUAUGUACUCACGCCCUGCAUAUAUUUCUAAAUGUGCAGGCUAAGCAAGGAGCGAGAAUGGUCUGGUGCUGGUGCGGGAACGUUUCAAUCGAUGUAUUUAUAUUACCGUAUUGCCUUCAUGUUGAUAAAGUCUUGAUAAUUGAGAUACUUCAUCUUUUCUUUUGAAUUUUAGCAAUUCACUCGCGGUUAUAUGUCUUCAUACAUAUAAUCGAUUCGUCUUUUGCUGCGAUACUCUGCAUAUUAUGAUUCCUUAUGAAAAAUGAGCUAUACCCGUUUUAUUUU